rnacentral:rRNA from 1 species
GACGAACCGUACAAACGUUAUUCGGAAUCACUGGGCUUACAGGGUGCGUAGGCGGCUUAGCAAGUCAGGUGUGAAAGCCCCCGGCUCAACCGGGGAACUGCGCUUGAAACUGCUGAGCUCGAGUCAGCUAGAGGUACACGGAACUUCCAGUGGAGCGGUGAAAUGUGUUGAUAUUGGAAGGAACACCGGAGGCGAAAGCGGUGUACUGGGGCUGGUCUGACGCUGAGGCACGAAAGCCAGGGGAGCGAACGGG